GUCCAGACUCCUACGGGAGGCAGCAGUGGGGAAUAUUGCACAAUGGGGGAAACUCUGAUGCAGCGACGCCGCGUGAAGGAAGAAGUAUUUCGGUAUGUAAACUUCUAUCAGCAGGGAAGAAAAUGACGGUACCUGACUAAGAAGCCCCGGCUAACUACGUGCCAGCAGCCGCGGUAAUACGUAGGGGGCAAGCGUUAUCCGGAUUUACUGGGUGUAAAAGGAGCGUAGACGGCUGCGCAAGUCAGAAGUGAAAGCGCGGGGCGCAACCGCGGGACUGCUUUUGAAACUGUGUAGCUAGAGUGCAGGAGAGGUAAGUGGAAUUCCUAGUGUAGCGGUGAAAUGCGUAGAUAUUAGGAGGAACACCGGUGGCGAAGGCGGCUUACUGGACUGUAACUGACGUUGAGGCUCGAAAGCGUGGGGAGCAAACAGGAUUAGAUACCCCAGUACAA
rnacentral:rRNA from 1 species